GCUUACUCUCUUCUUGUCUCC
rnacentral:miRNA from 1 species